AGCUCAGCUGGAUAGAGCAUCUGCCUUCUAAGCAGACGGUCAUGCGUUCGAGUCGCAUC
rnacentral:tRNA from 2 species